UACAGAGGGGGCAAGCGUUGUUCGGAAUUACUGGGCGUAAAGGGCGCGUAGGUGGCCCGCUAAGUCGAACGUGAAAUCCCCGAGCUCAACUCGGGAACUGCGUCCGAUACUGGCGGGCUUGAAUCCGGGAGAGGGAUGCGGAAUUCCAGGUGUAGCGGUGAAAUGCGUAGAUAUCUGGAGGAACACCGGUGGCGAAGGCGGCAUCCUGGACCGGCAUUGACGCUGAGGCGCGAAAGCUAGGGGAGCAAACGGG
rnacentral:rRNA from 1 species